CCUACGGGCGGCAGCAGUGAGGAAUAUUGGUCAAUGGACGAGAGUCUGAACCAGCAAAGUAGCGUGAAGGAUGACUGCUCUAUGGGUUGUAAACUUCUUUUAUAUGGGAAUAAAAUGUUCCACGUGUGGGAUUUUGUAUGUACCAUAUGAAUAAGGAUCGGCUAACUACGUGCCAGCAGCCGCGGUAAUACGGAGGAUCCGAGCGUUAUCCGGAUUGAUUGGGUUUAAAGGGAGCGUAGGUGGAUUGUUAAGUCAGUUGUGAAAGUCUGCGGCUCAACCGUAAAAUUGCAGUUGAAACUGGCAGUCUUGAGUACAGUAGAGGUGGGCGGAAUUCGUGGUGUAGCGGUGAAAUGCUUAGAUAUCACGAAGAACUCCGAUUGCGAAGGCAGCUCACUGGACUGCAACUGACACUGAGGCUCGAAAGUGUGGGUAUCAAACAGGAUUAGAUACCCGUGUAGUC
rnacentral:rRNA from 1 species